GUGGAUGUAGCUCAAUGGUAGAGCCCCGGCUUGUGAUGCCGGUGGUUGUGGGUUCGAGUCCCAUCAUCCACCCCA
rnacentral:tRNA from 2 species